rnacentral:lncRNA from 1 species
ACACGAGUCGGAACUACUGUAAGGAUUUGUACGACAAGAUUGGGUGUAAUAUAGUUAUGCUCAAUGCUACGCUCUCAUGAUAGCUGUGCGAUAAAUCCCUAGUCACCUACGAGUCGGAACCACCUAUAAUGGUCUAUACGACAAGAUUGUGCACCUAAAUUGGAUCCAAUGUAAGCAUAUGGUGUGGGAGGUGACAUCAUAAACAGGCCUAUACCAUAUCUCUGGCUAAAUCACAAUCACCCUGGUUGCAGGUUUAUGAGCUCUCAAUCACGUCUCCCAUUAUCAAUAUCUCAUAUAACAAAACAUAACUCACCUGGUACUUACCUGAGCAUCCACAACACCAAUUCAUAUUAUGCAUCAUAUACUAAUUCAUAUGUUGAAUAUAAAUUU